AAUGAACGUUGGCGGCGUGGAUUAGGCAUGCAAGUCGAGCGAUAACCGUAGCAAUACGGCGAAAGCGGCGAAAGGGAGAGGAACACGCGGGUACCUACCCUCGGAUUCAGGAUAGCCAUGGGAAACUAUGGGUAAUACUGAAUAACGUCUCCGGACCAAAGGUGUGAUGCCGUCCGGGGAGGGGCCCACGUCCUAUUAGCUAGUUGGCGAGGUAACGGCUCACCAAGGCGAAGAUGGGUACGGGGUGUGAGAGCAUGCCCCCGCUCACUGGGACUGAGACACUGCCCAGACACCUACGGGUGGCUGCAGUCGAGAAUCUUCGGCAAUGGGCGCAAGCCUGACCGAGCGACGCCGCGUGCGAGAUGAAGGCCUUCGGGUUGUAAAUCGCUGUCGUAGGGGAGGAAAUGCCGGUGGGUUCUCCCAUCGGUUUGACCUAUCCUAGGAGGAAGGACGGGCUAAGUUCGUGCCAGCAGCCGCAGUAA
rnacentral:rRNA from 1 species